rnacentral:rRNA from 1 species
CGGACCGGCGCACGGGUGAGUAACGCGUAUGCAACUUACCUAUCAGAGGGGGACGAACCGGCGAAAGUCGGACUAAUACCGCAUGAAGCAGGGGCCCCGCAUGGGGAUAUUUGCUAAAGAUUCAUCGCUGAUAGAUAGGCAUGCGUUCCAUUAGGCAGUUGGCGGGGUAACGGCCCACCAAACCGACGAUGGAUAGGGGUUCUGAGAGGAAGGUCCCCCACAUUGGUACUGAGACACGGACCAA